rnacentral:rRNA from 1 species
AGAAUCAACGCUGGCGGCGUGCCUAACACAUGCAAGUCGAACGAGAAAGUGGAGCAAUCCAUGAGUAAAGUGGCGCACGGGUGAGUAACACGUGACUAACCUACCCUUGAGUGGGGGAUAACCUCGGGAAACCGGGGCUAAUACCGCAUAACAUCGAGAGAUCAAAGGAGCAAUUCGCUUAAGGAGGGGGUCGCGGCUGAUUAGCUAGUUGGUGAGGUAAUGGCUCACCAAGGCUAUGAUCAGUAUCCGGCCUGAGAGGGCGCACGGACACACUGGAACUGAAACACGGUCCAGACUCCUACGGGAGGCAGCAGUGGGGAAUUUUGCGCAAUGGGGGAAACCCUGACGCAGCAACGCCGCGUGGAGGAUGAAGUCCCUUGGGACGUAACUCCUUUCGAUCGGGACGAUAAUGACGGUACCGGAAGAAGAAGCCCCGGCUAACUUCGUGCCAGCAGCCGC